UAGCUCAGUUGGUAAAGAAUCUGCCUGCAAUGCAGCAGACCCAGGUUUGAUUCCUGG
rnacentral:tRNA from 1 species